UUUCAAACUGGGGCCUAAUGAAAGUAGAAUACUUGACAACGUUUGCAACGAGUCGCAGUCUGCUUGCUAAUAGUAGCUGUUUUUUUUUUAAACUUUUGCAAUGUGAAGCUGGUUCCCCACCCCCGAGUGAGGGUUGGAAUGGAGCCGGCCCCGGGUUUGGAACGAGCUGAGGUGGGUGGGGGCGGGGGAGGUUCUCACAGCCGUUAAAGUCGGCCCCGAGCUCGAGAUCACUGAGCAGGUUUACAGGGUGAUUUAACGGUUAAAGCAGAUUCAUAGCUAUUCCCCGUUAAAAGAAAGGCUGAGGAAAUGUCGCCGGCAAAAGACACGUGAAGAUGUGCCUGUCGGCUACGGGAGCAACGAUGCCGACCGGGAUUGAAGCAAGAUCAAGAUCAGACUGAAAGCUGUGAGCCAGCACUAAAAUCUUGGAAGCCAGUUCAGACAAACUGUUAGCCCUGUUCACUAGAAUAACCGCAGAUUAGGUAACAGGAGGCUCCAGCGCUGUUUAUAUUAGAAUUUUUUUAAAUCACUGCUGAAAGUGUCAAUUAAGUACUACAGUCCAUUUGAAUUGAAGUUUCCUUGCAGUAAGUGACACCGCUGGUAAUAGCAGAUUCGCACCGAUUUCGUUUUUGAAAUAAACUCUUAAUCCUCCACUUGAAUCAGGCACUUGUGUUGCAGGAGUGCUGUUGGUGAGUAAGAACCCUCACUUGAUAACAUCGGGAGACGAAGGCAGCAGUGAUUCUUCCUGCUCAGUUGCUGUCAACGAUCUAAUGCAAUAGCACUACAAAUAUGGGUUCUUAGCUGGAUAAGAAGCAAGAAGCUUCAUAGAGUUCUGACCUGGGUUCAACUGUGAUCAACCAGAUGGAGGAACCAUACUGUAACUAUCUCAAGAGGGAUCACAAAAGACAUUUGAAAUUCAGUGAGCUUCAGAAAACAGAACUGAGUCUUCAAAAGGUGUGAAAACCCCUUGGCUUCUGAGAGAAUAAGAGAAAAGCAGCUUCUUUAAAGGACCUCAACUUAAUUCACUUUUUGUUUUCUUGGAACAAUGAUACAUUUAAAUUUACGGAGCAGCCAUUUCCAGUGUUGUACAGAAUUAAGUGCAUCUUGGGACAGCUAUUAUGUGCAUAGACCCCAUUGGAACUCACAAAGACAGCGCAUCCUUCAGCUGCAAUAACUGUACAGUAUGCAGAAUAAACAGAAAUUGCUCAGCAGGUCUGGCAGCAUCUGUGGAGAGAACAACAGAAUUAACCUUGUAAGUCCAGUGACCCUUCUUCAGAACUGAAAACAGCAAGGAAGAGGUGGUAUUCAUGCUGAUGACUGGGCUGGGGGAGAGACAAGUGCAGAUAUUGUCAGGAGGGAAAGAGAGAGAGGGAAAAGAAAAGGGAAAGAGACAAGGGGAUUGUUGGUAAUAAGCCAGGGAAGAAAACAAGCUGAAUAGGUGAUAACAGGCUGUAUGAGUGGUUGAAAAUAGGUUUCCUAUGCUAAUAGCAACCCGUAUAGGACAGGAUUUGGGAUUGUGGGGGUUGGAAUCAAACAGAGGGAUGUGCUCAUGCUGUGAAAUUCUUCAACUUAGUGUUGAGUCCUGAGGGCUCUGAGGCACUAAGGUGGAAGAUGAGAUAUUGUUUGUCCAGCUUGCAAUAAACAUUGCUGGAGCACUGCAGUGGGCCUGAGGCAGAAAUGUUUGCAUGGGGACAUGGUGGUGUGUUGAACUGUCAGGUAACUGGAAGCUUGCGGUUAUUUUUAUUGAUAGAGCAGAGGUGUUCGAUAAAACAGCCAUCCAAUCUGCAUUUUGUCUUCCCACUGUAGAGGAGAUUGCAUUGUGAACAAUGAAUACAGUAGACUGGAUUGAAUGAAGUGCAGGUAAAUUACUGCUGGAAAUUUUGUCUGUGGUCUUGGAUGGUGAAGAAGGAGAAAUUGAUGGACAAGUGCGCCACCUUCUGUAAUUGCAUGGGAAAGUGCCACAGGGGCGAGAAAGUUUUGGGGUGUGGAAGUUGAGCCAUCUCUCUGCAUCCAGUAGUUAAAGUGCAAUAAAGAACUAAGCAAAAAGGUCCUUCAUUCACUCCCUAAAGAUGCUUAUCCUACUGCGUUUACCUACAGAUGCAAAUUCAGACUAUUCAACUCCAGAAUCCAUUGCAGCUAUUGAACACAACUCUUCAUCUUCAACCUUUCACUCCAGAGACAGUUUUAUUUAUUUCAAAAAAUUACUUGAUUCAUAAAUUAUCUAUAAGUAAAUACAUGUACAAAGCAGUUCAGUACAGACUUUGCAAAACAUUCCUCAUUAGAGCUUCAAUCCAGUUGCAACAAAAAGGCUUUCUCUAAACAAGAAAGGAAACAAUUGGCAUUUUCAUUAAGGUUAAUAGAGGAUCUCAAAACUUAACACACCCUCGUAAUAUGUUGACAAAAGGAACUUAAACGGUGGCCUCUCCCGACUGCAUCGUGGCAGCAGCUGCCCCAAGCUUUAGUGCGUCCCUCAGCACAUAGUCGUGGACCUUGGAAUGUGCCAGUCUGCAAAACUUGGUCGAGGUGAACUUUUGCAAUGAAAGACCACAGCAUCUUUUACCGAGUUGGUGGUCUUCCAGGUGCAGUCAAUGUUUGACUCUGUAACUCCAGACAACACUUCAACUGCAAGUCAGGGACCCACGACAAUAUCUUAAAGGACGGAAUUGAAUUUCAACUUUAUUAGUAUUCUUGAUCCUUUUCUGUGUUUCAUUUUUCUGUAUAUUUGGUUAAUAAUUUUAUUACUUUUAGUUAAGCAACUUGCAGCAAUGUUUUAUACUAAAAUAAUAUUUAAAGUGUUAGAAAUUCCUUAAGACCAAAGUUUUAUUCCUGGUUAUUUUUAAAUUAAAGCAAAUUAAAAUUCUGAAAGUUUAAAAUUCAGCUAUACAAACUCAUUCUCAGCUCAUUAAUCACUUUGAGCAAAAACACUGUAUGGGUUCUUCACAGCUGUGGUGUGGAUGUUGAAAAGUAUUUCACUUAACUUUGUUUCUAUCAAGUAUUUUAUAAUUAUCUCUGGAAACAGAUAAAACCUAGACACUCUAA